rnacentral:rRNA from 1 species
ACCGGAUGUGCCUUUAGGUGAAAUAUUUAUAGCCAAAAGAGGAGCUCGCGACCGAUUAGCUAGUUGGUGGGGUAAGAGCCUACCAAGGCUGCGAUCGGUAGCCGGUUUGAGAGGACGACCGGCCACACUGGGACUGAGACACGGCCCAGACUCCUACGGGAGGCAGCAGUGGGGAAUUUUCCGCAAUGGGCGAAAGCCUGACGGAGCAAUACCGCGUGAGGGAGGAAGGCUCUUGGGUCGUAAACCUCUUUUCUCAGGGAAGAAUUCUUGACGGUACCUGAGGAAUCAGCAUCGGCUAACUCCGUGCCAGCAGCCGCGGUAAUACGGAGGAUGCAAGCGUUAUCCGGAAUGAUUGGGCGUAAAGCGUCCGCAGGUGGCAUCUCAAGUCUGCUGUCAAAUCUCCCAGCUUAACUGGGGCAAGGCAGUGGAAACUGGGAAGCUAGAGAGCAAUAGGGGUAGAGGGAAUUCCCGGUGUAGCGGUGAAAUGCGUAGAGAUCGGGAAGAACACCAGUGGCGAAAGCGCUCUACUAGGUUGCAUCUGACACUGAGGGACGAAAGCUAGGGGAGCGAAAGGGAUUAGAUACCC